rnacentral:lncRNA from 1 species
GGCCCUGCGCAAGGAGCUGCUCAAAUCCAUCUGGUACGCCUUCACUGCACUGGACGUGGAGAAAAGCGGCAAGGUCUCCAAGUCUCAACUCAAGGUGCUGUCCCACAACCUGUACACGGUCCUUCACAUCCCUCAUGACCCCGUGGCCCUGGAGGAACACUUCCGGGAUGACGACGACGGCCCCGUGUCCAGUCAAGGAUACAUGCCCUACCUCAACAAGUACAUCCUAGACAAGGUGGAGGAGGGGGCUUUCGUUAAGGAGCACUUUGAUGAGUUGUGCUGGACACUGACGGCCAAGAAGAACUACCGAGUUGAAGGCAACGGAAACAGCCUGCUCUCCAAUCAGGACGCUUUCCGUCUCUGGUGCCUCUUCAACUUCCUGUCUGAGGACAAGUACCCGCUGAUCAUGGUUCCGGAUGAGGUUGAGUAUCUGCUGAAGAAGCUCCUCGGGAGCUUGAGCUUGGAGAUGGGCCUCGGGGAGCUGGAGGAACUCUUGGCCCAGGACGCCCAAUCAGCCCAGACCUCCGGGGGGCUCAGCGUCUGGCAAUUUCUGGAGCUCUUCAACUCAGGCCGCUGCCUGCGGGGUGUGGGGCAGGACUCCCUCAGCAUGGCCAUCCAAGAAGUCUACCAGGAGCUCAUCCAAGACGUCCUGAAACAGGGCUAUCUGUGGAAAAGAGGGCACCUGAGGAGGAAUUGGACCGAGCGCUGGUUCCAGCUGCAACCCAGCUGCCUCUGCUACUUUGGGAGUGAGGAAUGCAAGGAGAAACGAGGCACCAUACCCCUGGACGCGCACUGCUGUGUGGAGGUGCUUCCGGACCGCGAAGGAAAGCGCUGCAUGUUUUGUGUGAAGACUGCCAGCCGCACGUACGAGAUGAGCGCCUCAGACACGCGCCAGCGCCAGGAGUGGACGGCGCCAUCCAGACCGCGAUCCGGCUACAGGCAGAGGGGAAGACGUCGCUGCACAAGGACCUGAAGCAGAAGCGG